ACUCCUACGGGAGGCAGCAGUGAGGAAUAUUGGUCAAUGGGCCCGAGCCUGAACCAGCCAAGUAGCGUGCAGGAUGACGGCCCUAUGGGUUGUAAUCUGCUUUUACGCGGGGAAAAAGUCGGCUACGCGUAGCCGUUAAAAAAAAACGCAUUUAUAAGGACCGGCUGGUUCCGUACAAGCAGCCGCGGUAAUACGGAAGGUCCGGGCGUUAUCCGGAUUUAUUGGGUUUAAAGGGAGCGCAGGCCGGAGGUCAAGCGUGACGUGAAAUGUAGGGGCUCAACCUUUGAAUUGCGUCGCGAACUGGUUUCCUUGAGUGAGUACGACGUCAGCGGAAUUCGUGGUGUAGCGGUGAAAUGCUUAGAUUUCAGGAAGAACCCCGAUUGCGAAGGCAGCUGACGAGUCCUUUACUGACGGUAAAGCUCGAAGGUGCGGGUAUCGAACAGGAUUAGAUACCCUGGUAGUCCGCACGGUAAAAGAUGGAUACCCGCUGUUUGCGAUAUAUUGUAAGCGGCCAAGCGAAAGCGUUAAGCUUCCCACCUGGGGAGUACGCCGGCAACGGUGAAACUCAAAGGAAUUGACGGGGGCCCGCACAAGCGGAGGAGCAUGUGGUUUAAUUCGAUGAUACGCGAGGAACCUUACCCGGGCUUGAACUGCAGGAGAACGAUCCAGAGAUGGUGAGGCCCUUCGGGGCUCCUGUGGAGGUGCUGCAUGGUUGUCGUCAGCUCGUGCCGUGAGGUGUCGGCUUAAGUGCCAUAACGAGCGCAACCCCUUUCGCCAGUUGCCAUCAGGUGAUGCUGGGCACUC
rnacentral:rRNA from 1 species